AUUUUUUUACAAUUCUCUAAGAGCUAAAAAUUAUUAUUAUAUUGGUGUAAGUAGAGGAUGAACAUUAUAACUUAUAAAGUGAUAAAACCAUCCUUUACAUGCAAGGGGAGAAUUAUGGCUAAAAUUGUGAAAUUUAUUUAUGUUAUGAUUAUCAUUCUUUUUUUAUUUCUUUUUGCAACAAAUGUUGAAUGUAAGCCGAUUUGACCCCUUUCAAAUUUUCUUAUUUAAUUUAUACACAAUUAUUUCACAAAUUAAUUAAAUUAUUUUAUCAUCUUUUCUCCUUACAGCGUGGUAUGGUAGACGAUGUUCAAGAGAUUCGGAUUGUCGCAUAAAUAUGUUGUGUCGGAAACCUAAAAUAGCAAAAUGUGUAGCCCGUAUGUGUAACUGUGUUGUGUCGAUGUAUUCUAUACCUGAAUAAUUACGUAUUUAGUUCCAAAUUUAAGAGAAUGCCCAAUUUCUCUGCUACGAUUUUUCAUGAAUUGUCAUUUAGAUAUUAUGUUGGCACUUAAUAAUUUGAUUUUUAUUUUCUUAUUUAAGUUUUAGAAAUGUAAUUUUAUGUCGUUGUUCUCUAUGAUGAUGAUUAUGAAAUUAAAUAAGAUAUUUAUAAAUAUUAUUUAGAUUGUCACUAAA
rnacentral:lncRNA from 1 species